rnacentral:rRNA from 1 species
GCAGCCGCGGUAAUACGUAGGUGGCGAGCGUUAUCCGGAAUUAUUGGGCGUAAAGGGUGCGUAGGCGGCACAAUAAGUUUAAGGUGAAAGCGUGGGGCUCAACCCCAUAAAGCCUUAGAUACUGUUGAGCUAGAGUACUGGAGAGGGAAGUGGAAUUCCAUGUGUAGCGGUAAAAUGCGUAGAUAUAUGGAGGAACACCAGAGGCGAAGGCGGCUUCCUAGCCAGAGACUGACGCUGAGGCACGAAAGCGUGGGGAGCAAAUAGGAUUAGAUACCCC